AUCCUCCACUUACUGUCUAUUAUUCUUUGGUAGCUCCAUUUUUGUUCGUAUUGUCAAAAGUCGUCUUGUUCGGAGGCUGGAAUUAAAAGCAGUUGAGGGUUGAGAGGCUGUUGAAAAUUGGAGUGAUCAGGUUGCUGGUUUUAGAAUAUCAAGUGUGACAUAUUUUACUGGGAAUGGGAUUCUCUCUUUGUGUGAAAACUGUAUGCUGAACUGCUUUUUGGCAUGAGUGCUAUGCAAAACUUUCUGAUGGGGUUAAGAGACAUUGUAGAAUAUGAAUGUCAAAAUAGCAUGCAUCCAUUAUUCUGGUUAUUUUCUUUAUCGAAAUCAGAGCUGAUGCUCAAUAGUUCUAAAAACCAACAACCAAGUUCAAUGCAUGCGAAUAUAACUAGAAGCAUUCACAUGGCAUUAUCUGUCGGUUUUUUCCUGGCUGUUUUUCUAUUUCUUCUGCUCCGUGUACAAAACUAUUCGCACAUCAAGCACUCGCCAACCAUAUUAGGAUGUUUAGAGGACCGUGAAAUUUCUAUAUCAUAUACCGUGAUUCAACUAAAUUUAUGAUUUCUAAUUUCGCAGGUGUUAAGAUCGGUGAAGAAACUUACGUAUGGCGAAUUAGUUUUGCGUGCUGUUGCUUGCAGUAGCUUGAUAUGGCGUAUAUAGUUUGAAGAGGCAUGAAUAGCCCACAACCUAUAUAUAGCCCACAAUAGUCCAACCGAGAAAGUGAGACACGGAAUGAGGAAUCGAAGGAGGAAAAAAAAAAGAACGGAUAUUACUCCUUGUGUUCAAAGGAAAAGCGGUACUUUAGACUAGUGUAGGAUAGUUGAUAUAAGGAAAAAUAGUAGUGAGCAAGAGCAGCCAGAGAAGACGAUGCAAGUCAUGAAUGAGAUGUUUUAUAGAGUGGUGCUGCUCUCACUUUUUUUCUUUUUUGGGGUAAAGUGCUCUCGCACCCUUUUAUUCCAAACUUACGCGCCAGCAUUGUUUAUAUCCAAAAUUAAUUAACACUUGCGUUCUAUAGUCA